ensembl:lncRNA
GGGGUAUUUUUGCAUCGGGUUUUGCAAGAGGGACGACCCGAGGAUUCAAAAAGAUACACAGACUUGUCACUGGAGGGAAAGGUCUGCACGGAGAGAGGGAUUGCUUGUGAUUGGCAUUUCAGUGAGCCUGUGUGUGUAAAAUAGUGAGAAAGAAAAAGGAGAAGAGCAAUUCGAGACUGAACAUUUACUAUGGUCCUGGUGGAGGGUCUGAUCUUCAUGUUAUGGCCCCUCAGCAGUUUAUGUCAGGGUGAGUACAGAUCAACUUGAAGAACAGGUGGAUGGACAGAUGUAUGUAUGUAUGGAUGGAUGGAUGGAUGGACGGAUGGGUGGAUGUAUGUAUGUAUGGAUGGAUGGACAGAUGGGUGGAUGUAUGUAUGUGUUUAUGGAUGGAUGGAUGGAUGGAUGGAUGGAUGGACGGAUGGGUGGAUGUAUGUAUGUAUGGAUGGAUGGAUGGGUGGACGGAUAGGUGGAUGUAUGUAUGUAUGGAUGUAUGUAUGUAUGGAUGGACAUAUGUAUGUGUUUAUGGAUGGAUGGAUGGACGGACGGGUGGCUGUAUGUAUGUGUUUAUGGAUGGAUGGAUGGACGGACGGGUGGCUGUAUGUAUGUGUUUAUAUAUGGAUGGAUGGAUGGAUGGAUUUAUGUAUGAAUGUAUGUAUGUAUGUAUGGAUGGAUGGAUGGAUGGACGGACUUGUGGAUGUAUGUAUGUGUUUAUGGAUGGAUGGAUGGACGGACGGGUGGAUGUAUGUAUGUGUUUAUGGAUGGAUGGAUGGAUGGAAGAACAAAUGAAUAGAAGUGAUACAUAUAGAUGGAUAAAUUGACAGAUGAUUAUGAUGGAUGAAUGGAUGAAUGAAUAAAUAUAUGUAUGCAUGUAUAGAUGGAUGGCUGGAUGGAUGGAUGGAAGAACAAAUGAAUAGAAGUGAUACAGAUAGAUGGAUAAAUAUACAGAUGAAUAUGAUGGAUGAAUGAACAAGUAUACGUAUGGAUGGAUUAAUGGAUGGAUGGUCAAAAUAGGGACGGCUGAAUAAACAAGUGGAAAGAUGGAUAAACGAGACAGAUGGAUAUAUGAAUGGAUGAACAGAAGAAUGGGACAAAGUGCAGAUGCAUGGAUGACAUAUAUGUACAGUAUAUAGCAGUUAAAUGGACAGAAGUAGAGGACUAUGUAAUGGACUGAUGCAUGAACAGACAGAUGGAUGAAUGUCUAGAUCCUUCUAUGGAUGGAUGGAUGUGUGAUAAAGGUACAGAAGAAUAGGAUGGAUGAAUGACAAGAUGGAUGAUAGAUAGAGGACACAUGAAUAGAAAGAAGGAUGAAUCAACAGAUACAUGGAUGGAUGGACAGGUUAAAUGAGCGGAUGAAUCUACUCAUGAAUAGAUAGAUGCAAGAAAUGAACAAGGAAGGGAUAGAUGAAAUGAUGGCUUGAUCGAUGGAUGGAUAGAUGAUGCGGUGGCCUUUAUCAGCUCUGAAUUCUACUCUUUAAUUAUUCGCAACCAAGCUAAGGUUUGUCCAAGAUGCUCACUAUACAUUUUCAGUUUGAAAAAAAGUAAACGCGCCCUAUACCC